rnacentral:rRNA from 1 species
CGCAUCUGUGCAUGCAGCAUAUCAAUAAGCGGAGGAAAAGAAACUAACAAGGAUUCCCCUAGUAACGGCGAGUGAGGCGGGAAGAGCUCAAAUUUGAAAUCUUAAAGGGUUUCCCUUUACGAAUUGUAGUUUAAAGAAGUGUUUUCUGUUGAGGUUUUGGUAAAAGUUCUUUGGAAUAGGACAUCAUAGAGGGUGAGAAUCCCGUAUUUGACCUUUACUUUCAACUUUGUGAUACACUUUCAAAGAGUCGGAUUGUUUGGGAAUGCAGUCCAAAAUGGGUGGUAAAUUUCAUCUAAAGCUAAAUAUUGGCGAGAGACCGAUAGCGAACAAGUACCGUGAGGGAAAGAUGAAAAGAACUUUGAAAAGAGAGUUAAACAGUACGUGAAAUUGUCAAAAGGGAAGCGUUUGACACCAGUGUUGUUUUUCUGAAAAUCAAUUAAAGAACUGUUUAUGCUAAGCUGUUUAGACUUUAUCAGCUAUCUGUUUAGUUUUGAGCUUUUCUUUAAUGCACUUUUCAGUUAACAAGUCAACAUCAAUUUCUUUUGCUGUAAAAAAGCUUGAGGAAGGUGGCUUGAGAUUCGUCUUAAGUGUUUAUAGCCUCUUGCCUAUGCAGUCGGAGAGAUUGAGGUCUGCAGCGUAGAUCCUUCGGGGCUAAAUGCAUUUGUGCUAAGUUAUAGCAUUUUAUAGACAACUUGUUGACUAUGAUUUGUCUUGUAGCUUACUCGCUUAUGUUAUUUUACCUACGCUUAGGAUGUUGAGUCGUAGAGCACCAG